GAUGAACGCUGGCGGCGUGCCUAAUACAUGCAAGUCGAGCGAACGGACGAGAAGCUUGCUUCUCUGAUGUUAGCGGCGGACGGGUGAGUAACACGUGGAUAACCUACCUAUAAGACUGGGAUAACUUCGGGAAACCGUAGCUAAUACCGGAUAAUAUUUUGAACCGCAUGGUUCAAAAGUGAAAGACGGUCUUGCUGUCACUUAUAGAUGGAUCCGCGCUGCAUUAGCUAGUUGGUAAGGUAACGGCUUACCAAGGCAACGAUGCAUAGCCGACCUGAGAGGGUGAUAGGCCACACUGGAACUGAGACACGGUCCAGACUCCUACGGGAGGCAGCAGUAGGGAAUCUUACGCAAUGGGCGAAAGCCUGACGGAGCAACGCCGCGUGAGUGAUGAAGGUCUUCGGAUCGUAAAACUCUGUUAUUAGGGAAGAACAUAUGUGUAAGUAACUGUGCACAUCUUGACGGUUCCUAAUCAGAAAGCCACGGCUAACUACGUG
rnacentral:rRNA from 1 species